GGUGGAUUUGCACAGGUGUUUAAAGCAUACUUUGAUAGUAAUCCAGAUGAGGUUGUUGCACUAAAGAUUCAAAAACCAGCUUUCCCUUGGGAAUUUUACAUGUAUCGUCAACUGGACAUACGGAUUCCACAAAAGGAGAGGUUGAAUUUUGGCUUUGCCCACCGGUU